AUGAUUGACCUAAAUGAGGAACCAGAUGAUAUGGAUAUUGGUGAUCCAGUGAACUCUACACAACAGGCUGCUCAAAAUCCUGAGUUAACCGGUGAUUCUCCUACUCCUCAUAUAGUGCAAAAUGCCACAGCUCUUGUGGCAAAAACAGUGGAGACAGAUGAGCAAGCACCUGCAGCGCAAGAAUCUGAGACUGAUGGCCAUACCCUUGAUGGCACGGAUGCCGCGGGUGAUACAAGUGUGACUGUUGGUAAUGGUUUGACAGGCUUUGGUGCUGAAAAUGAUGAAGAGGCUUGGUCACAACCUAAGGAGCCUCAUGUGGGCAUGAGGUUUGACACUUUGGAAGGCGCAAAAGAGCACUACAAUGCAUAUGCCUUGCAGAUUGGUUUUUCAAUCAAAAUGAAUACUUCAAGGAAGGCUGUGAAAACUGGAGUGUUGAUAAAACAACAGUUUGUUUGCAACAAGUUUUGA
rnacentral:rRNA from 1 species